GCUUAUCACCAAAGAAAUUUACUUUUCAGGAGCUAUUUUUCUUCUCUGUCCCAAUUUUCGUCUCAACUCUCUACCUCACAUUUAUCAUUGUGAAUUAGUUUUUAUCCUGUCCCAUGCAAGACAACUAGUUAAGAUAUGCAUUUGAAGGUCUUUUUUGUUAACUAUACAAUUUAUUUCAAUUUUAUUUUAAUAAUUCUUAUUAUAGUAAAGGUCUCCCUGCCUAGUCUGAUGAAGUCAUUGCCACAAUAUAACAUAAUUUUUUAGUCGAUUUCUUGCGAUGAAGGGACAUUUUCA
rnacentral:misc_RNA from 1 species